AGGUCAUUUCAAAAAGAGCCUGUGGAACCAAAACCAGGAGCUCUUAAUGCUGUGACCCAAGACUGAAGUUCUCCAUAGGAUGUAAUAGACACUUGAUAGUGCUGUGUUUCCUAAGGAGAUGUAAGA